rnacentral:rRNA from 1 species
UAGGGAAUCUUCCACAAUGGACGCAAGUCUGAUGGAGCAACGCCGCGUGAGUGAAGAAGGUCUUCGGAUCGUAAAGCUCUGUUGUUGGUGAAGAAGGAUAGAGGCAGUAACUGGUCUUUAUUUGACGGUAAUCAACCAGAAAGUCACGGCUAACUACGUGCCAGCAGCCGCGGUAAUACGUAGGUGGCAAGCGUUGUCCGGAUUUAUUGGGCGUAAAGCGAGCGCAGGCGGAAUGAUAAGUCUGAUGUGAAAGCCCACGGCUCAACCGUGGAACUGCAUCGGAAACUGUCAUUCUUGAGUGCAGAAGAGGAGAGUGGAACUCCAUGUGUAGCGGUGGAAUGCGUAGAUAUAUGGAAGAACACCAGUGGCGAAGGCGGCUCUCUGGUCUGCAACUGACGCUGAGGCUCGAAAGCAUGGGUAG